rnacentral:sRNA from 1 species
GGAAAAUUAGUCUGUACAUGGGAACACAGAGACUUAAUAUCACGUCCAAAUUUAUCUGUGAUUUAUGCACAUGUACGAGACCAAACAUGUGUGUCUACAUACCUACCCAGGAAGACGCCACCUCCAGUAAAUAUACCUAUUGCAAUCACAUCAUAUUAUGCAGGUGAAGACAGAGAUGAAACAUUUGUACAAGAUGGUUCCAUGUGUGGUCCUGAUAUGUAUUGUUUCAAAAUGCGUUGUAAAGAUGUUAGAUUCCUGAUGAAUUUAAGAUUGUGUGAUGCUUCUAAUCAUUGUGGUGGUCAUGGAGUUUGCAACAAUUUUAACCAUUGCCAUUGUGAAAAGGGAUAUAAUCCUCCUUACUGCCAACCAAAGCAAGGAGCAUUUGGAAGUACUGAUGAUGGACACUUAGUACCACCAACUGCACCGGUCUCUAA